rnacentral:rRNA from 1 species
UACGUAGGGUGCAAGCGUUGUCCGGAAUUAUUGGGCGUAAAGAGCUCGUAGGCGGUCUGUCGCGUCUGCUGUGAAAACUCAGGGCUUAACCCUGAGCUUGCAGUGGGUACGGGCAGACUAGAGUGCGGUAGGGGAGACUGGAAUUCCUGGUGUAGCGGUGAAAUGCACAGAUAUCAGGAGGAACACCGGUGGCGAAGGCGGGUCUCUGGGCCGUAACUGACGCUGAGGAGCGAAAGCAUGGGGAGCGAACAGG